CCGACCUUAGCUCAGUUGGUAGAGCGGAGGACUGUAGUGUUGCAGAAAAAAUCCUUAGGUCGCUGGUUCGAAUCCGGCAGGUCGGA
rnacentral:tRNA from 1 species